AGAAGCUAGUAAUAUGGCACGUCCAGGGUCUCCACUCUCUAGAGAACUUUGUUUCUGUAGUUGAGCUCGACUUGGGAAACAUACCCGAACUGGCCAUGAUAUCCAAUCUUCAAAAGUUACAAAAUCUUGAAAUCAGUUACUGCCCGAAGCUCAAGACACUGAAAGAGAUGGAUGCCCUCAGGCGGCUCCAGCUGACAGUUCCUUUCUGGGAAAAUCAACUUCCAUUCUACCUGCAGACUGUAAGGCCUUGUCAUUUGCUGCUGACAUGUAACCUAGCAGUACUCACUUCCAUGGCUGAGGGUGAAUCUAGCUCCGAAUGGGACAAGUUCAGUCAUAUCAAGCAAGUCGAGGCUUAUGCAGAGGAUGGAGGAGAUGAGAAGAAAUGGCACGUGCUCUACACAUCUGAGUCCUCCAACAUACAAACAAAUAUUCAACAGGAUCGAUUGGUGGAAGAAGAGGACUAGGCUGCAACUCCAGCAGAAUGAGGAAGGGUAUAUCAUUUUAGGAUAUAUGGAUACGGGGAAGGCAUCAGCAUAAUGACAUAUACACUUACCUGGAGAGAUUCCGACAUCGUACUAAUUUCUUGCGAAGUGCGACAUAUACACUUGUGAAUCUAGAGAUGAACUUUUUGGCGGACUAUCUAGCUGGUGAAGAAACAUGGUGACCUUGGCAAGGCUGUCCUUUGUUUAGUGCAAGCAACUAACGGAGUUUAUGCUACUCUGCUUUGCUCUGCUCUCUGAAAGCAG